AACGAACGCUGGCGGCAGGCUUAACACAUGCAAGUCGAGCGCCUCGCAAGAGGAGCGGCAGACGGGUGAGUAACACGUGGGAACAUACCCUUUACUACGGAAUAACGCAGGGAAACUUGUGCUAAUACCGUAUGUGCCCUUCGGGGGAAAGAUUUAUCGGUAAAGGAUUGGCCCGCGUUGGAUUAGCUAGUUGGUGGGGUAAAGGCCUACCAAGGCGACGAUCCAUAGCUGGUCUGAGAGGAUGAUCAGCCACAUUGGGACUGAGACACGGCCCAAACUCCUACGGGAGGCAGCAGUGGGGAAUAUUGGACAAUGGGUGCAAGCCUGAUCCAGCCAUGCCGCGUGAGUGAUGAAGGCCUUAGGGUUGUAAAGCUCUUUCACCGAUGAAGAUAAUGACGGUAGUCGGAGAAGAAGCCCCGGCUAACUUCGUGCCAGCAGCCGCAGUAA
rnacentral:rRNA from 1 species